CGGAGGCAGCAGUGGGGAAUAUUGGGCAAUGGGCGAAAGCCUGACCCAGCAACGCCGCGUGAUUGAAGAAGGUCUUCGGAUUGUAAAGAUCUGUCCUAUGGGAAGAAACAAAUGACGGUACCAUAGGAGGAAGCCCCGGCUAACUACGUGCCAGCAGCCGCGGUAAUACGUAGGGGGCUAGCGUUGUCCGGAAUUACUGGGCGUAAAGGGUGCGCAGGCGGUCCUUUAAGUCAGAUGUGAAAUACCCGAGCUUAACUUGGGGGGUGCAUCUGAUACUGGAGGACUUGAGUGCAGGAGAGGAAAGUGGAAUUCCUAGUGUAGCGGUGAAAUGCGUAGAUAUUAGGAGGAACACCAGUGGCGAAGGCGACUUUCUGGACUGUAACUGACGCUGAGGCACGAAAGCGUGGGGAGCAAACAGGAUUAGAUACCCCCGUAGUCCU
rnacentral:rRNA from 1 species